rnacentral:rRNA from 1 species
GACAGAGGAUGCAAGCGUUAUCCGGAAUGAUUGGGCGUAAAGCGUCUGUAGGUGGCUUUCAAGUCCGCCGUCAAAUCCCAGGGCUCAACCCUGGACAGGCGGUGGAAACUACCAAGCUGGAGUACGGUAGGGGCAGAGGGAAUUUCCGGUGGAGCGGUGAAAUGCGCAGAUAUCGGGAAGAACACCCGUGGCGAAGGCGGCUCUCUGGGACGGUACUGACGCUGAGACGCGAAAGCGUGGGGAGCGAACAGG